rnacentral:rRNA from 1 species
AACAGGGAUUGCCCUAGUAACGGCGAGUGAAGCGGCAACAGCUCAAAUUUGAAAUCUGGCUUCGGCCCGAGUUGUAAUUUGCAGAGGAUGUUUCUGGCGCGGUGCCUUCCGAGUUCCCUGGAACGGGACGCCACAGAGGGUGAGAGCCCCGUAUGGUUGGACACCAAGCCUGUGUGAAACUCCUUCGACGAGUCGAGUAGUUUGGGAAUGCUGCUCAAAAUGGGAGGUAAAUCUCUUCUAAAGCUAAAUACCGGCCAGAGACCGAUAGCGCACAAGUAGAGUGAUCGAAAGAUGAAAAGCACCUUGAAAAGGGGGUUAAACAGUACGUGAAAUUGUUGAAAGGGAAGCGCUUGUGACCAGACUUGUGCCGGGCGGCUCAUCCGGGGUUCUCCCCGGUGCACUCCGCCCGGCUCAGGCCAGCAUCGGUUUUCGUUGGGGGAUAAGAACGGCAGGAACGUGGCCCUCCUUCGGGUGGGUGUUAUAGCCUGCCGUACGAUACCCUGACGGGGACCGAGGUUCGCGCUCCGCAAGGAUGCUGGCGUAAUGGUCAUCAGCGACCCGUCUUGAAACACGGACCAAGGAGUCGUCCAUUAGAGCGAGCGUUUGGGUGUCAAACCCGCACGCGUAAUGAAAGUGAAAUUAGGUGAGAGCUUCGGCGCAUCAUCGACCGAUCCUGAUGUUCUCGGAUGGAUUUGAGUAAGA